UACAGAGGUCUCAAGCGUUGUUCGGAUUCAUUGGGCGUAAGGGGUGCGUAGGCGGCGCGGUAAGUCGGGUGUGAAAACUCGGAGCUUAACUCCGAAACUGCAUUCGAUACUGCCGUGCUUGAGGACUGGAGAGGAGACUGGAAUUUACGGUGUAGCGGUGAAAUGCGUAGAUAUCGUAAGGAAGACCAGUGGCGAAGGCGGGUCUCUGGACAGUUCCUGACGCUGAGGCACGAAGGUCAGGGGAGCAAACGGG
rnacentral:rRNA from 1 species